rnacentral:rRNA from 1 species
AUGUGUCUUCCAAAAUCAAGUGGAGGCAUGGGGUUCAGAGAUUUACACGCUUUUAACUUAGCGGUGCUGGCUAAACAGAGUUGCAGAAUGAUUACUCAUCCUGAAUCUUUAUGUGCCCAAGUUCUGAGAGCAAAAUAUUUCCCUGACGUGAAUAUACUAAAGGUAGGACCGAAGAAAGGCUCCUCCUACACAUGGCAAAGCAUUUGGGCAGGACUACAUACGUUUAGGACAGGACACAUUUGGAGGAUCGGAUUUGGUGAGAAAAUAGGUAUAUGGGACGAUCAUUGGAUCCCCUCGAGCCCCACAAGGAUGGUGUUCACAAGGAGAGGCAAUACAUUGCUGAGAACAGUAAAUGAGUUGAUGAUUCCUCACACGAGGAUAUGGGAUGAAGACCUGAUCAGAAGUGUGUUUCGUCCGGUGGAUGUUGAGAACAUUUUAAGAAUUCCAUUGUCAGAGCACCUUGUUGAGGAUUUUGUGGCAUGGAACAGAACCAAAUCUUUCUCCUUCUCCGUACAGUCUGCGUAUUACACUGAGUGGGAGCAUCAGUUCGGGGCGAGAAUGAACAACGCCCAAGGUUCAGCUACAAUCAGGCCAGUGUGGGAUAUAGUCUGGAAGUUGGAAGUCCCAAGCAAAACCAAAAUUUUCAUUUGGCGGGCACUCCAUGGUCUGAUUCUGGGAAUGUCUGUUUUAGCUCAUAGACACAUCAAGGUCUCGCCGGUUUGCCCAAUAUGGCAAACAUGGCUUGAGGAUGUUAAACAUCUGCUGUUCUCAUGCCCACGUGCUUCCCAAGUUUGGUGAGCCCUUGGACUGGAAGAAAUCAUAGAUCAAGCACUACAGAUUGGUCGCUCUAGCUCGGUGGUGCUCGAGGAAAUUCUCAGGAGGCCAAGAGGUCCCUCCCCAAUUCUUGGUCCGCUGGGAUUGCAUGAAACAGUGGCGGUGGCGUCAUGGUACAUUUGGUGGGAGCGUUGGCAGGCACGCAAAGGUGAGAUUGUGAAAACUCCAAAGAGUACAACUUUUGCCAUCCAUGCAAUCAUGACAAACUCGGCAGUAAAGAAGUCAAGCAGCCCUGUUAGAACUGGCUGGGUCAAACCAACCACCGGAUCCUAUAAAUUGAACUCUGAUGCAUCUUAUUUUGAGGAUGGCUCGGGUGUUGUAGCUGUUGUUUUAAGGAACAGUAGAGGAGAAGCUAUUGCGGGUGUCGUUGAACCAUUUGUUUUUACUGCAAGUGCAAUGAUGACAGAAGCAUUGGCGAUCCGUCGUGGUUUUUAG